AAGUGCUGCGUUGGAACAAAGGCGACUUCUUCUCUUUGGCAAACUCUGAGCUCCUGCUCUGUUUUGUCCAAUUAUGGGUUGAGCUCGCCCCUGCCCACGAGCCAGCUAAUCAGACUUUUAUGAGCCUUGCUCCCUCACGCCCAGGGCCCGGAGCUGAAUGCAGGUUUCUGCAGAGAGAGGAGGACGUGCUUUUUGCCGGAAGACUGCUUCCCACUCUGACCUAAUCCUGGGAGCCCUGGAACCUCAAAUCCUAGCUCUCCGAGGAGAGUCCAUCCUCUUCCAUCAACAUGGACCUCAGGACCCUGGUGGGAGGAAGCGCCUGGAAGACAAGCCUAGACAUCUCCAACCGGAACUCGGGAUGAAUUCUCCCGUAGACCUACCUGUGAAUGGUGCCUGGCAUGGUCAAGGCUGAGACAACUAAAUAUUUUGCCUUUGGCUUGAGAUUAAGUGAACUGAAUGUCUGGACUCAGCAAGUUGCUUGAACAGUCUCAACCCAUUAAAUGUGAAUUAAAAAUAGACAGCUGAUACUAAAAGUGGAGGUUAGUAACAUAAGUGUAAAAUGAAUGUAGAAUUUUUCUGGUUAAAAUAAAUUCUUAAAACAAAUUGUAAUUAAGUAUCAUAAAAUUGUCUUUUUGCUGACUAGUUGAUGGACAUAAAUGUAUACACAUUUAUAGAUAUUAAUGCAAAUAGCCAUGAAAAUAUACGUUCAUAUGUCUACAGACCCAUUUAUGUUAGCAUAGAUGCUUGCCCUUGGGGCUAACAGCCAAAAACUAUUAAUUCUCUCCAUGGGAAAGCAAUUUUAAAGCUCAUUAAUUAUGCCUGAAAUUUACAUUUUUAUUUUUAUUCCAAGCUUUGAUUGCAGUCUAUUAAUA
rnacentral:lncRNA from 1 species